UCAAGCGGCCCAUUACAUAAAAUCAAUCCCACUGUACGUCGUAUCCGAAACCACCAACUUCGUCUCUCAUCUUCCUCCGGCUUAGCGGCGGUGACGAUUGCGCUUCAUCUCAUGUCUGUAACGGACUGCGUUAUGAAUCUGUCUUUAAUCCCUUUGAUUAAUUCUCACACGAUGUUUCUUUGAUGCGCUGGUUAGAUGUGAGGGGCUGUGUAUAAAUAGAUGUAAGUUUCCUCUCCAUGAACUCAAAAAUCCGGCUAACUUCUUUAUGUUUUGUUAUAUUUUUGAUUAGGUUUAUAUAUUAGAAAUAAAACCUCUUAUUGAUUGUUGAAUUUGCGAAAUAAGGUCGAACCCCUUCGUGUUUGUUUGUUUUGUAUUUAAUAAUUUUUUUAUGAUUUAUGCUUUAUGUGUGAUGACGAGGGAGUCUAGAUCCUGCGAAAAUGAGCAACAAGAAGAACGCCUUGAUCUUACCGCAGUUAAAAAAAGAAAAAACUCUUAACGGGAUGAUCGAGCAGUUCUUCUGAAUGCUCUCAAGAUGUACAGUGUACUCUUUGGUUGUCCAACGUUUGGCUGUCCUUGAGAACUUGAGUCUCACUGUUGGGAAGCGAGGUUCUCAGAGAGAUUCAGGUGAAUCCAUCUUCCACCUAGAUGAAAUGAAACUUCUAUUUCAUUUGGGAUCAUGGAUUUUGGUGGACUUCCAAAUAUUAUCUGUAAGAGUUUCUGCAAAUUCUUCAGUCCACUUCAAGUUCCUGAGAACAACAAUGAUCCUGAUGAUGGAUAGAACUCCAAGGCCAAAUGGAGCACGACUAUGACAACAGGCCUGACUCCUGAUCUCAUAUUCAGUUCUAUUUUCUUUUUAGCUCAGUUCUAGGAUCUAAAUAUGUCGAUUGUUUAAUCAGUAGAUCAAACCAUUAAAGAGAAAAUCGUCUUGCGUGUUGUGUCAAAGUUUACUGGUGAAGUUGUUGAUGCAUAUUACCUUGAGAUGGACAACGAUGAUGAUGAGGUUACCGAAGAUGAUGAUGAGGAUGCGAAGGGAGGAAGAUGAGUAGAGGAGGACGAGGAUGACAAUGAAAAGGAUGAGCAAGGAAAGAAGAGCAUAAAAAGUCAUCACCUGGACGCAAGGUUUUAACAAUUACUCAACAUCAACCUUUGGUUUUAUUUCUUAUAGUUAUUUAAGGGCUUAAAUAUAUUUCUUAUAUUUAAGGGCUGAUAUAACCUGAGGCUCUUUUCUUUGUGAACAAAGUCUGGAAGCAUACAACUUGCGGAAGGUCAACAAGGUGAGAGGCCUUUGGAGAGUAAGCAACAGUGAGUAAAAUUCUUCUGCAGUAUAGAAUGUGGCUUAUUUGUGAGGAUGAGUCGGGUCUUUCUGUUUCUGAAGAUGUAGAAUUGUUGUCCGGUUGAUACUAUAUAUCAAGUUUUGUCGGGUGGUUUGCUAAAAAAAUAGGUUAUUUUGUUUGGUGUGGUUUGUGUCUGAUUUUUCAUUUGUACCGUUUCUAAUAAUGAACCGGUUUGAACUUAUAGUAUUUGUCGUUUUGUUCACAA